rnacentral:tRNA from 1 species
CAGAUUAUAGCUUAUAAAAAGUUUAUUAUUUACAUUAAUAUGAAAAUUUAAUACAAAUUUAAUUUGA